UCAAAAUCUCCCCUCUCCAGCUUGGGCCUCUUUAGCAGGAAACCUCUCUGGGGAGAGACAGAGUGAGGUGGACCUCUCCUUCCACAUUCCUCCCUGAGCUGCUGGAUGUGGGUUCUAACUUUGGGUUUCUGGGGUCUGGGAGAUACUUAGACCUGAAUCUCUCAUGGGGAUCUUUUAUACAUCUCGAGAGAUCCCCAUUAUAGAGACCCCUCUCCUUAAGUUCCCAUCACGAGCUGACAGCUCCUCUCUUCCAGGCAAUCUUUUUUAUUUCCCCUCAGGGAUCUGGAGGACCACCAUCAGGAUCUCUCAGCUGAGAUCUCCUUCUCUAGGUAGGUAGCUCUUUUGGGCAGGAUCUAGGUUACUUUUCCUGUUGGCCCACAUUUGGAUCUAAGACAAAAGUCCCCAUCCAUGGUCCUGUCAAACUCUGGGAUGCAGGUGACUCCAAUGCAGUCAGUCCCACUGGCUCUGUUACCUAAGAAGCCAAACCUCUCAUCCCAGACCAUCAUGAGUUCAAAUGCAGGAAACACAUCAAGCUCUCUAAAGGGUCCCUUUGAGGACCCCCUCAUGGGGGGCUAGAGGAUGGCAUGGCAAAUCUUCCCCAGCCUGAGCAGUUUCCUCCAGUGAAACUCCUCUAGCACUUUGUCUCAAAUAGCCUCUUUUCUCUACUUGACUCCUAUUUAUUUCUUCAAUUAACUGAGAGGUCUCAGAAGCGUGAAUCAGGUUCUGGACAAUUUCCUUU
rnacentral:lncRNA from 1 species